rnacentral:rRNA from 1 species
AGUGAACGCUGGCGGUAGGCCUAACACAUGCAAGUCGAACGGCAGCACAGUAAGAGCUUGCUCUUACGGGUGGCGAGUGGCGGACGGGUGAGGAAUACAUCGGAAUCUACUUUUUCGUGGGGGAUAACGUAGGGAAACUUACGCUAAUACCGCAUACGACCUACGGGUGAAAGCAGGGGAUCUUCGGACCUUGCGCGAUUGAAUGAGCCGAUGUCGGAUUAGCUAGUUGGCGGGGUAAAGGCCCACCAAGGCGACGAUCCGUAGCUGGUCUGAGAGGAUGAUCAGCCACACUGGAACUGAGACACGGUCCAGACUCCUGCGGGAGGCAGCAGUGGGGAAUAUUGGACAAUGGGCGCAAGCCUGAUCCAGCCAUACCGCGUGGGUGAAGAAGGUCUUCGGGUUGUAAAGCCCUUUUGUUGGGAAAGAAAAGCAGCAGGUUAAUACCCCGCUGUUCUGACGGUACCCAAAGAAUAAGCACCGGCUAACUUCGUG